UGGGGAAUAUUGCACAAUGGGGGAAACCCUGAUGCAGCGACGCCGCGUGAACGAAGAAGGUAUUCGUAUCGUAAAGUUCUGUCCUAUGGGAAGAUAAUGACAGUACCAUAGAAGAAAGCUCCGGCUAAAUACGUGCCAGCAGCCGCGGUAAUACGUAUGGAGCGAGCGUUGUCCGGAAUUAUUGGGCGUAAAGGGUACGCAGGCGGUUUAAUAAGUCGAAUGUUAAAGAUCGGGGCUCAACCCCGCAAAGCAUUGGAAACUGAUAAACUUGAGUAGUGGAGAGGAAAGUGGAAUUCCUAGUGUAGUAGUGAAAUACGUAGAUAUUAGGAGGAAUACCAGUAGCGAAGGCGACUUUCUGGACACAAACUGACGCUGAAGUACGAAAGCGUGGGGAGCAAACAGG
rnacentral:rRNA from 1 species